CACCGUGCUCAGUCGGUUUCAGUCGUCUUCUAUGGGAGGAUGUUGGCCGGUGGUUUACCCGUGACAAAACGUCAAGCGGGAUUUUCUUAACUUUUCCCAUCGACUCCUCGUGUCAGAAAUAUUAAUUGUUAUGAGACGAUAAGAGAUCAGUCUUAUCUAUCGUGUUCAAAAGUUCGACGUUGCGUAUAAACGUGAUAGUCCUUUGUUGAUUGCGAUUGUUUACGUGGUAAGAGUCAGUGUACGGACUGAAAAACAUAGAGGGCCCCUUUGGAGAACCACGAUUGUGCAACGUUCACACGUGCUUUCUCACGUACGAUCGUCAAUCGAUUUAAUCAUUCGUUUGUGAGCAAGACUAAGGAACGAAGCUAGUGAAAAAUGAAAACCGUAUCGUUACUCGCUCUUGUUGUCUGUCUGCAAUAUCACGUUACUGGUUCCUUGGCUGUUCCAGCAAGAACGACCGGGCAGGUUCUCCUUGGACAAGUAGACAUUGACGUCCAAGAGGACGCCGAAAAUGAAUUAACGACGGAAGAAUCGUUGCCGAAAAAAUGCAUCGUCGAUGACAAUGCAUAUUCUCAUGGUCAGACGAUACCAUCGUACGACCCGAACUCUCAUUGUCUGUGCGUCGCCGGUGAAGUAUAUUGUUGGUGGCAGAAUUACAAUCCGAACACCGAUCCUUCCGCCGGCCCCUCGUUCCUCCCAUCGACGACGAUAGAAAGUAAUUACACGCCGUCGCUGGAGGGAAGCACGGAUGCCGUCGACAGUUUGGAAGCUUCCGGUGAUCCGGCGGAGGAACCUUCUGUCGAGCAACAGGGAUACGCGGAGAUUAACGCGACCUACUCGACUACCUUGCAGCCAGUACCAACUACGUGUCUCGUGAUGGGAAGGGAAUACCGUGAGGGCGAGGUACUUCCGCAUUCGACCGGAAACUGCAUUGAAUGCAGCUGCGGAUCCGAGGGCCGUGUCGAGUGUUCGCCACGGGACUGCGUGGCCCUUCGACCCGAGAUACCAGUUGCACCAGAUAUACCGGACGCACCAGAUGGCGAUUUCGAAGUUUUCAAUCUUGCCAGGGAUCGGGGAAUCGACGAGAGCUUCUAAAAAAUCCGAUAAUAACGAUUGUCGCCUGCUCCAUGAAAUCCUCGAACGCGUGGCUCGUAAGAGACUCGACUUUCGUGUAAUCGCGGUCUUCGACGAGUUUCGCCUUUACUUAUUAAGCUUUCCUUUUUUAUUCGGAAUUUGUUGAUCGAUAUGAAUUAUACGUGAAAAUCAAACGACGUUAAUUAUUACGUUAACGUUAAAAUGAAUUAUUUAAAUUUGUGUGGUUUUUCUGACUUUGAAAAUGGUGAAUGAAGAGUUAGUAUUGUAUCCAUACGUGAAUCAUAGUUUAAUUUUCAUGAAAGUGGGUCAGGAUUCUAAGAGAAAUAAUGAAUUCCUUAAAUAAAUAAUUAUUUUAUCUGUAAUAUUAUCUGUUUAUAGUAUCGAAACUAUAAUGGAUUAAUCACGCUUAAAAAGUAAAAUUAUAAUUGUCGUAUUCUUAUUUCUCGCAAAGGUGUACGAAAAAGCUUGUUUCAUCCAAAUGGCAAAGCAUGUUCUAAACUUUCGAGCAGGAGUAUACGAAUGUGUUUUGUAGCAUAUAAAAUUUAUUGAUGAUUUAUGAAUAAUUUGUAACAAUAUGAUUACAACAAUUGGGAACAUAGUGAAAAAUAAGAUUGGUUAUUUUGUACUACGAUUCAUACUAAUUCUAUUUGAGAAUUACUUUAAAAUAGAUGAAACCUUAAAUAUUAAAUUUUAUUAAAAAUUUAUUCUAUUAGAAAUAUAACGAUACAUUAAUAAUAGGAAGUAUUAAAAGUGAUACUAGUAGUUAUAUGGUUUAUUUAUGUUAUUUAUAAUAUAAUUUAGUAGUGAUAAUUGUAGAAAUAAUUUUUUUAUAAACUUUGAGGAACAUAUUGGUAUACAUAUUAACCGUAAAUAAUUAAUGUAUCGUAGAAUGAAAAUUAAAUACAAUUUCUCCCACGAUUAUUUUCGUAUCGAUCAAUAAUAUGUUGAUACAUAUCUGUACGAUCAUUGCGUUUUAAAUACCAGUUUACGCAAGUAAUCGAACGUUUAACGAUCCUCCAACCGUAUGGAAUGAUUUUCUUAUUAAAAAUAUUUAUCUAUGGAUCGAGAUUCACGUUCUUAACAAACGGAAAGGAUUAUCAAAGUAUUUUUUUCGCAUCUCACAACAUAUUAAAAGUCACACGAUUUCAACGAGAAAAAUAUUCUCGACCGGGAAGUGAUUACACGGUUGAAGGAUCUGUAAGUACUAAUUAGUUUAAUUUAUAUACCUUCUUAUCUGUGUUCUCUCAAGCUUUAAGCUUUUCUCCUUUUGUUUGAAACGCGAUUCCGGUUGAAAGAGUUCUACGGAAGAGAAAAAGAAAACUCUGAAAAAUCGAUUACCGAUAAUGAAACAAAAGGAACCUUAACUACUUUCUUUUCACAUACCUGAAUAAUUAAACGAGACAGGAAUUAGAUAUAUAUAUAUAUAUAUAUAUAUAUAUAUAUAUAUAUAUAUAUAUAAUUAUGUAUGAGAAAAGUAAAGAAUACUCAACUUCAAAGAAAAAUAUAUUAUUGCAAAUUACAACGAUGAUUAAAGAGAGAGCAGGGUUCAAUUUCAACAUCGUCGAGUUAUCGUCGUAAUGAUCAGUCGCUUGAAUCGACCCAGGCCAGGCCAAAUAAUAUAUUUAUGUUCAAUUUAGUGAUUUAAUGAGAUCGAUAGACAGCUUUUAGCCAGGAUGUUAUUCCAACAUUUAUUAGCCAACUGCAAUUUAUUACCCCCAGGACUUCUAAACGUUUCACUAGCGUGGGCCUAAUUUAUCAAACGAUGGAUCUUAGAAAUAAUCCAUCUAAAUACCAAUUAAUUACGAACAAAUUCUAUCUAGUCGUACUGCGUUUACAAAUUGCAUUUCUUUAUCAGGAUUAAUAUCGUUACCAUUUUUACCAUCCAUUACAACUUACUAUUACCUAAGAAACGUUAACGAAUCUUGAGAAAAUGUUCCUCAUGCAAGAACCUCCAGCGCCACAAAAGUACCAAACGAUAGAUUAAUAGCGAUUAAGUACUCGUUCCUUAAGAGAACUCACAUUCCAAAUACUUCCUUUUUAUUUCUAACAUUUUAAUUCUUCGAAUAACUUAAACUAGUCCCAGAAAGAAAACUUCGUUUUGAAAGAAAUGCUCCGUUUAUUCAUCUUGCGUUUCAUAAUCCUCUUUCAUCGAUGGAAAAAGUCGAGAUUUGCGCACCAGGAUAGAUCCUCGAGCGGUGCAAUUUUUCUAUAAGACGACCUACCGACGAUCUAUCCUCAUACUGACGAAUCGUCGCCACGAUCGUCACUAGGUAUCGUGAUUAAGUGAGAACUCUCGGCCAAUUUGGCCACACAUUUUCUAUGUAGACACCCGUAGAUGUUAGAACGCAAGUUUGAACGAUAGGUCCCGCGCGCUUUGAUUCUCUAAAUGAGGGAUCGUUGUAGUUCUCUCGUCUGUUGUACGGUAUUUUGUACGCGUUACGAGAAUGGAAGCGGUUACUUCCCAUCAUGUUAACGAUACACAAACGAUAAACAAAACUAUAUAAUUCUGUAGACGUCGGCCUACAACGUACGAAUUAAUAAGUCGGGUAUGAGGAAACCGGCCUGUUCGGUCUCGGAAUCGAGUACCCGUUUUAAAAGAAGAAGCGUUACAGAGCUUGGAUAGUUCUGGAUCUUCGUCAUAAGAUCAUAGAUGAUACUCGUGUCAUUCAUAUCUUUCGUCAUAUUCUAGUCGAGACGUAGCCAUAUCCUGUUCACGGUCGGUACGUUCGGCCUUGUAGCUUGGAUCGUAGGGACGGCAAUGCCCUGCUACUCGUACGAAGAAAGCACGACCUGUACGAGACGUUCAGAAAGCUUAUUGAACAAGCUCGAUUGGCUUGUGGCUCGCAAGCCGGCAAUCUGGUGAAACGAUCUUUGCACAAGCUGAUCUAUCUAGCCUCCACUGUGUAUAAAAUAUUGUUCCAGUUGUGCUUUUUGCUUCUGUUUCGGUGAUAUUGGAAAUUGGAUAUCGGCGAGAAAUCACGUUCCGUGUUGUUUAACAAGGUGAAAAAUCUCAAAUCACUAAUAAAAAUCUAAUAUCGAAAAACUUAUUAAAGAUCUCAAUAAUACUAGAUUGUAAUAUUUUGUUUUUUGCUUGUUUUAUUGCAGAUCUGAAUUAAUGAAAAAGACAUUCCUUUUAUUGAAUAAAUUUGAAUAAUUUUAGAAAUUUCUUGAAAUUCUAAAUUUAAAUUCAUUACUUAUUUAUGUUUACAACCUAUAAGAAUAUUUAUUCUAUUAAACAAGAGAAUAUUUUUUGUUUGGCUGUGAACAUUACAGUGGGAAAGUACGUAAAUGUUAAUACCGUUGCAAAGGAACAUUAUACAUUUCACGCAAUUCUAUUGCAAAAUGUAUAACGACUUUUAAUUUAAUUAAGAAAUAAUUUUUUAUCAAUUUACUGGCAGAAAUAAUCAUAAAUAUAAAUAAAUAAUCGUAACAGUCGAAACUAAAAUUUAUAGCAAAAUUAUUUUAUUAAUAUUAUUUAAUUUUAUACGUAUUCGAAACAUAUGCUCGAUUAAUAUUAAAUUUUAAUUCACCGGGCAAAAAUGCAAAGUUCGUGUCAAUCAGAUCGAACAUCUCGUACAUUUGCAUCAUAUCAUGAAUGAAUAAACUAUCAGCGAGAAAAUACCAGAGUUUUAAGACGAAUCGAUUAGCAUAGUAAACGAUUUAAUGUAAGAAUUAACUAACGAAUGUCUAAAUAACAGAAGCGUAGAAUGGGAGUGAGUUCUCGAGGAUAGCUGACAUUCCUAAUCUCACAUGCAGAUCAAUCACUUACGAUACGUAUAUUAGUAAAACCACAUUAUAAGGUGAAGAAAGAAGAUUUUUCGUAGAACGAUGUUUCUGCUACAUAUGGAGCGAUAAAAAAAUAUUUAAUAAAAAUCGGUAGCGUAAUUCGCCGGUUGAACUUAGUAUUAAAUAGUCUCCUAAUCCAUAUAUAUAUAUAUAUACAUAUAUACAUAUAUGUAUUCCUUUUAAUGACAGAGACAAAAUGGAAUUCUGUGUUGUAUGGAUCAACAUGCACAAUUGAUUGAUUUAAUACAUACAUAUAAAUAUUAUAUAUUCAUAUAUAUAUAUAUAUAUAUAAUAUAUACAUGUACACGUUCUUAUGCAUACACGAGGAACCAAAUAUCAAGAGAUAAUUAUUGUACGUAACUAUGCAUAUAAUAUAUGUAUACAUAUAAAUUAUAUAUAUAGGAGUAGGAUACCCAAGCGUUUUCAAUUGCUGUGCACCUUCUGUAGAUAUGAAUUCGUCUCUUCGUUUCACAGUACGUUUUCUUCUGUGUAAUUCCGGUGUUUCAGUAGUUCAAUUACAAUCAAAUUACAAUAGGGUUAUUUUGAGAAAAAAAUAAUUCCGCAUUCUGCUAAUAUAAAUGUAACAUUGGGAGAUAGAUGGACCACCUGUUUCGAAUGCUUCUCGUUUAUUCUUUUAUAAAGUUGAUAGUAUGUAUACAUUUUUGCUGUGAUUACUAUACGUGUACGUUAUUUUUAAUUAUAUGUAAUAGAGAUUGAAAUUGGAAACUAUGGUAAGAAGAAUAUUGUAGAGUAAAAAAAUAAAAGAAUAUCGUGUCAUCCAAAAAUUACUUGUAAUUCGUUGAAAGAUGAAUUCUCUAUAAUUAUAUGUAUACGUAUGUACAUUAGCCAUAAGUUCAACGUUAUUUCAUUCCUAUUACAAACUUUAGUAGAUUUCUUCCAUGUUACUAUUAUAAAUUUUACUUGAUAAAUUGUAAGCAAUAAUGGUGGCAAUCAUGUGUACUAUAUACGUUUGGCAAUGGAAGGAAUAAAAUGAAUAGAGGCAAGGAGAUAAUAUCAGGAUAAACAUAUCAAAUAAUAAUAUUAUCCUAAAACCUAAAAAAUGAUCCAUCUAUCUUCAAGCACGUUAUCAUAGAUACGUUUGAUUAUACAGAGAAUCUAUCUCAGCGUACAAAUAGUUAACGAUCUUACGGUAGCACCGAUUAUCAUGCAGAAUCAAAUAGGAAAAGCAAAGGGUUGUAAUUAUACUUUUACGAUGACUAGUUAAUCGUUCAUAGUUAGUCGCAUAGUUAGGUAGAGAUCCAAUGUGAUACAUACAUUCAAAAGGUAACUUUGUCUAAAAGUUUUACUAUACAUAUAGGAAGAAGAUACGACAUCUUAUCGCAAGAUUUGCCGUAAACUUCUACGAGCGUUCGUUCAAUUAGGUGUACCUAAACCAUAGAAAAUCAAGCAACGUUCCGAACGUUACCGUCAGGCUCGCUUUUUGCAAUGAUUCGAGUUUAUUGUCAUACACAUCAGUGGCAUUUUCGUUGACGAACCAGUGUAAUCGCAUCAUCAUAACACGGCCUGUACUGAUAUUACCUUUAACGAUAAUCGAAAUAGAAAACAGGAUGAUCUCGAAUGUUUUAUGACCACUGUGGAAUAACGAAUCGAGACUACUAUUUUUUAACUGCGGCACUUUUCUGUGUAUUAUCGUUCUAGAACAAUCUAUCCCCUGGAAAUUCAAACAUGAGAUUGCAUUAAAGAGAAAAUAAAAAAAUGGAAAACAAAUGGGAAAAGUAAGUAGGAUCAUCACGAGAUCACGCGGGACCAUCAUGGCAGUUCGUUUUUCUCGUAUGUCUUCCAAUCAUUCCAUAAACCAUUGUGUCUGUCUUGUAUCCGUGGGAUCGCCUGUCUUCUUAACAAGGGUUGUACGCUAAAUAAAGGAAGAUCUUACGGUA